GCAUGGACUUUUAGCUAUUCUGAAGCGAAGCGGGUGACUCCAAUGAAGGCUCAUCCAGGCUGAGCGAAGUUUAGAGGGUUAAAUUGGUCGGCACGCGCAGAAACGCCCCCCUCCCCGGGGGGGUGGCCAGCGCCCGCCAGAGGACCAUCAAACUCCAGUCAGUAAACGAUGCAGUCUGAAAAACAUUUAAUAAACUAAAACUUUCAACAACGGAUCUCUUGGUUCUGGCAUCGAUGAAGAACGCAGCGAAAUGCGAUAAGUAAUGUGAAUUGCAGAAUUCAGUGAAUCAUCGAAUCUUUGAACGCACAUUGCGCCCUUUGGUAUUCCGAAGGGCAUGCCUGUUCGAGCGUCAUUACAACCCUCAAGCUCUGCUUGGUAUUGGGCACCGUCCUUUGCGGGCGCGCCUCAAAGACCUCGGCGGUGGCGUCUUGCCUCAAGCGUAGUAGAACAUACAUCUCGCUUCGGAGCGCAGGGCGUCGCCCGCCGGACGAACCUUCUGAACUUUUCUCAAGGUUGACCUCGGAUCAGGUAGGGAUACCCGCUGAACUUAAGCAUAUCAAUAAGCGGAGGA
rnacentral:rRNA from 1 species